rnacentral:rRNA from 1 species
GAGGAAUGUAUAGCAAUAGCUACUUGCAUCAUAGUAGAUAUGAUGCAAGAUCGACUAUGUUGAAUAAAAUUCUAGGUAGAAUUAUGAUAAUGACAUUGUCUGCCUAUGUGUCUUGACCAAAUUACGUGCCAGCAGUCGCGGUAAUACGUAGAAGACUAGUGUUAUUCAUGUUUAAUCGGUUUAAAGGGUACCUAGACGGUAGAUCAAGCUUUCUAAUAAAGGAAAAGGACUAAUUUACUAGAGUUACUUAUGAGGGGGUAUUAAAGUACUGCUGGUGUAGAGAUGAAAUUCUGUCAUACCUCUUUUCAAAAGAAAAACCAUGGCACAGGUAUAGGCGAAGGCAUCCCCUUAUGUGAUAACUGACGUUGAGGGACGAAGGCUUUGUGUAGCGAACAGGAUUAGAUACCCCAGUAGUCGAAGCAGAAAAUGAUGAAUGUCAUAGAUUAGAUAUAUAAGUUUAUUCUAUAAAUGAAAGUGUAAGCAUUCCACCUCAUGAGUAAUUUGGCAACAUUGGAACUGAAAUCAUUAGACCGUUUCUGAAACCAGUAGUGAAGUAUGUUGUUUAAUUUGAUGAUCCGCAAAAAACCUUACCACAAUUUGAAUAUUUAUAUUAUUUAUUGUUUUAUUAUUAAUAUUCUUAUAGUAAGAAUAUUAAUAAUAAGGCAAUAAGAUAUAUUUACAAGCGUUGCACGGCUGGCUUCAGUNANUGUCGCGAGACUUUGNAUAGUUCCANNAAAUUNACGUAANCCCUUACUUUAUUUUUAUAUAGAGCAGCUCCCCGCUAUAUUGGAUAUGAU